CAUGCCGCGUGUAUGAAGAAGGCCUUCGGGUUGUAAAGUACUUUCAGUGGGGGCAUUAGCGUUAAUAGCGUAGUGUUUGACGUUAGCGACAGAAGAAGCACCGGCUAACUCCGUGCCAGCAGCCGCGGUAAUACGGAGGGUGCGAGCGUUAAUCGGAAUUACUGGGCGUAAAGCGCAUGCAGGUGGUUUGUUAAGUCAGAUGUGAAAGCCCGGGGCUCAACCUCGGAACCGCAUUUGAAACUGGCAGGCUAGAGUACUGUAGAGGGGGGUAGAAUUUCAGGUGUAGCGGUGAAAUGCGUAGAGAUCUGAAGGAAUACCAGUGGCGAAGGCGGCCCCCUGGACAGAUACUGACACUCAGAUGCGAAAGCGUGGGGAGCAAACAGGAUUAGAUACCCUGGUAGUCCACGCCGUAAACGAUUCUCUUGAGGUUGUGGCCUUGAGCCGUGGCUUUCGGGCUAACGCGUUAAG
rnacentral:rRNA from 1 species